CCCUCAUCCUCAUUCCACCAUGUAAAUACAGAGCAAGAAUAUACUGGUCUAUGAACCAAGAAGUGGCACCUUGAUCUUGGACUUCCCAGCCUUCAGAACUUGGGAAGAAGGAGAAGGAGGAGGAGGAGGAGGAGAAGAAGAGGAAAAAGAAGAGGAAGAAGAAGAGGAAGAAAGAAGAAGAAGAAGACCCUGAAGGCUUUCUUAGAAGAGGAAGAAGGAGAGGAAGAAAGAAGAAGAAGAAGGAGGAGAAGGAGAAGGAGAAGGAGGAGAAGGAGAAGGAGAAGAAGAAGACCCUGAAGGCCUUCCUAGGUCUCCAAUGUGAUACUAGUUGAUAUUAC
rnacentral:lncRNA from 1 species